rnacentral:rRNA from 1 species
UACGUAGGGGGCAAGCGUUGUCCGGAAUUACUGGGCGUAAAGCGUGCGCAGGCGGUUUUGUAAGCCAGAUGUGAAAGCCCCGGGCUCAACCUGGGAAUGGCAUUUGGGACUGCAAGGCUGGAGUUUGGCAGAGGAGACUGGAAUUCCCGGUGUAGCAGUGAAAUGCGUAGAUAUCGGGAGGAAUACCGAUGGCGAAGGCAGGUCUCUGGGUCGAUACUGACGCUCAUGCACGAAAGCGUGGGGAGCAAACAGG